rnacentral:rRNA from 1 species
GACGAACGCUGGCGGCGUGCCUAACACAUGCAAGUCGAACGGAAAGGCCCUGCUUUUGUGGGGUGCUCGAGUGGCGAACGGGUGAGAAACACGUGUGUAACCUGCCCUUGACUUUGGGAUAACUUCAGGAAACUGGGGAUAAUACCGGAUAGGAGCUCCUGCUGCAUGGUGGGGGUUGGAGAGUUUCGGCGGUGGGGGAUGGACUCGCGGCUUAUCAGCUUGUUGGGGGGGUAGUGGCUUACCAAGGCUUUGACGGGUAGCCGGCCUGAGAGGGUGACCGGCCACAUGGGGAUUGGGAUCCGGCCCGGACUCCUACGGGAGGCAGCAGGGGGGAAUAUUGAACAAGGGGCGGAAGCCUGAUGCAGCAACGCCGCGUGCGGGAUGACGGCCUUCGGGUUGUAAACCGCUUUCGCCUGUGACGAAGCGUGAGUGACGGUAAUGGGUAAAGAAGCACCGGCUAACUACGUG